GGGGGCGUGGUGAAGUGGUAUCACAGGAAUCUCCAAAAUUCUAGUCGGGGGUCCGAUUCCCUCCGCCCCCG
rnacentral:tRNA from 1 species